CCUACGGGAGGCAACAGUGAGGAAUAUUGGUCAAUGGGCGGGAGCCUGAACCAGCCAAGUCGCGUGAGGGAAGACGGUCCUAUGGAUUGUAAACCUCUUUAGGCGGGGAGCAAUGCCGGGCACGCGUGCCCGGAGGGAGAGUACCCGCAGAAUAAGCAUCGGCUCACUCCGUGCCAGCAGCCGCGGUAAUACGGAGGAUGCGAGCGUUAUCCGGAUUUAUUGGGUUAAAGGGGUGCGAGGGCGGAUUUUUAAGUCAGCGGUAAAAGUUUCGGGCACAACCCGGGCCGGCCGUUGAAACUGGGGAUCUUGAGUGGGCGAGAGGUAUGCGGAAUGCGUGGUGUAGCGGUGAAAUGCAUAGAUAUCACGAAGAACUCCGGUUGCGAAGGCAGCAUACCGGCGCCCGACUGACGCUGAGGCACGAAAGCGUGGGGAGCGAACAGGAUUAGAUACCCUUGUAGUC
rnacentral:rRNA from 1 species